UUACUGUUGGGCACGUGAUCGAACGCCGUAUACUAAUACUCGCUCCGUUUUAAAAUAUAAGACCUUUUAGAAAUUUUAAUAAAAAAGUACAUACGAAACAAUAUGAAUGAAUAUAUCUUUUAAAAUAUGUCUAUAUACAUCCGUAUGUGGUUUAUAGUGCAAUAUCUAAAAAGUCUUAUACUAUUUAGAAACAGAGGGAGUAGUAUUCUUGUCGGUGCAAAUAGUGGUUCAGUAGGUUGAACACCUGACCU
rnacentral:lncRNA from 1 species